UACGUAGGUGGCAAGCGUUGUUCGGAUUUACUGGGCGUAAAGGGCGCGCAGGCGGCUAUCCAAGUCAGGCGUGAAAGCCCCGGGCUUAACCUGGGAGGUGCGUCUGGGACUGGGUGGCUAGAGUUCGGGAGAGGAGAGUGGAAUUCCCAGUGUAGAGGUGAAAUUCGUAGAUAUUGGGAAGAACACCGGUGGCGAAGGCGGCUCUCUGGACCGAGACUGACGCUGAGGCGCGAAAGCGUGGGGAGCGAACGGG
rnacentral:rRNA from 1 species